rnacentral:rRNA from 1 species
AGCGAACGCUGGCGGCAGGCUUAACACAUGCAAGUCGAACGCAUCCUUCGGGAUGAGUGGCAGACGGGUGAGUAACGCGUGGGAACGUGCCCUCCGGUUCGGGAUAACCCAGGGAAACUUGGGCUAAUACCGGAUACGUGCUUAUGGCAGAAAGGUUUACUGCCGGAGGAUCGGCCCGCGUCUGAUUAGCUAGUUGGUGGGGUAACGGCCUACCAAGGCUGCGAUCAGUAGCUGGUCUGAGAGGAUGAUCAGCCACACUGGGACUGAGACACGGCCCAGACUCCUACGGGAGGCAGCAGUGGGGAAUAUUGGACAAUGGGCGCAAGCCUGAUCCAGCCAUGCCGCGUGAGUGAUGAAGGCCUUAGGGUUGUAAAGCUCUUUUACCCGGGACGAUAAUGACGGUACCGGGAGAAUAAGCCCCGGCUAACUUCGUGCCAGCCGCCGCCGUAA